rnacentral:rRNA from 1 species
CCUACGGGGGGCAGCAGUGAGGAAUAUUGGUCAAUGGUCGGGAGACUGAACCAGCCAAGCCGCGUGAGGGAGGAAGGUACAGAGUAUCGUAAACCUCUUUUGUCAGGGAACAAAGACUGGGACGCGUCCCCGGAUGAGUGUACCUGAAGAAAAAGCAUCGGCUAACUCCGUGCCAGCAGCCGCGGUAAUACGGAGGAUGCGAGCGUUAUCGGGAUUUAUUGGGUUAAAGGGGUGUGCAGGCGGUCUGUUAAGUGAGCGGUCAAAGCCCGGGGGUCAACCCCGGCCCGCCGUUGAAACUGGCAGUCUCGAGUUGGAGAGAAGUAUGCGGAAUGCGUGGUGUAGCGGUGAAAUGCAUAGAUAUCGCGCAGAACACCGAUUGCGAAGGCAGCAUGCCGGCUCCACACUGACGCUGAGGCACGAAGGCGUGGGUAUCGAACAGGAUUAGAUACCCUUGUAGUC